CCAUCCUGCAAUGUACCUUCUUGCUAUGGCAUAUAGGACUUUAGAUCUUGAAGAUGAAAAAAGAAAGAAGCAUACAAUUAGGCAUGUUGUCGGCAGAAACAUCUUUAAAAUACUCAAGUGGUGCAACAACUUGCUUAAGACUGUAACGAGUAUAUAGUUUGGGUUUUGGACAGCUUGGAUGCUUAAGCUCUUGCCUGGAAAAGUCCAUUGUAUCUGAGAGUCAAUUGUGAUUAUUGAUUUUGCUCGUCUCUAACCGGGGUUUCAGUAAGCAUCAUGUAAUGCAAAGAGGGAUAAAGAAUCUCCUGCUACUAAUUUUCACAGUAGUAAAGAUUCCUGUUAGCAUGUGAUUGACGAAAUUGGUCUGGAGUAUGCAAAACAUGUUUGGCCACUUACCAGUUUGGGCUCUCUUAUACUAAUAUGGUCUAAGUAAUAUAGCUGGGAAAGGUGGCCCUGCGAAUUAUUGUGGUAGAAACUUUUUGGAAGGGGAUGUUGCUUCUGGUUAUACUGCUCUUUGUCAAGUGAUCUGCCAUGGUAAAAUGUUUGAUUUUCUGAUCGGAGGCUAUGACUUUUAAGUAGGAUUAUCAAGAUCAUCACUAUCCUCUUAUUGGCGUUGAUGGAUAUCGCAUCUCAUCCUUUACCAAGGUUUUCUGAAAAGUUUAUUUGGAUAUUUAAGGAGUAUAGCUGCCAAGCUUCCUCUGCAGCCAUUGUUUUGAACCAUAUUUUCUCUGCUGUCUUUUACAUGGAGUGUCAUAUCAUAUAGAUCUCCAUCGAAGAGUCAAAUCUGUUUCUGGGUAACUUAUUUGGCUGAAAGCAUUGAGGUGGUAAAGGUCAUGGGAGCACACCAAUGACAGUUUGAUCUCGGCCCAGAUAGUACUGUCCGCCUGCUAGUGCACGAUAAAACCUAUCUCUGCAGUAGACUGGUCUUCCGUCUGCCGCCUCAGCAGCUGCUGCUGCUAGGUCAUCAUCAGAUUUCACGUCCACAGGCAACUUAAGCAACUCUUCUCUUCUGCAAGAUAAAAAAUUGGCAGUGGGAGUUGGAGUAUUUUUUGGUCAAGAUGUGGGAGUUGGAGUAUGAUAUUAUGUUCCUGA